UACGGGGGGGGCAAGCGUUGUUCGGAAUUACUGGGCGUAAAGGGCUCGUAGGUGGCCAACUAAGUCAGACGUGAAAUCCCUCGGCUUAACCGGGGAACUGCGUCUGAUACUGGAUGGCUUGAGUUUGGGAGAGGGACGCGGAAUUCCAGGUGUAGCGGUGAAAUGCGUAGAUAUCUGAAGGAACACCAGUGGCGAAAGCGGCUUCCUGGUCCAGUACCGACGUUCAGGCACGAAAGCGUGGGGAGCAAACAGG
rnacentral:rRNA from 1 species